CUUAGGCGUGUGACUGCGUACCUUUUGUAUAAUGGGUCAGCGACUUAUAUUCUGUAGCAAGGUUAACCGAAUAGGGGAGCCGAAGGGAAACCGAGUCUUAACUGGGCGUUAAGUUGCAGGGUAUAGACCCGAAACCCGGUGAUCUAGCCAUGGGCAGGUUGAAGGUUGGGUAACACUAACUGGAGGACCGAACCGACUAAUGUUGAAAAAUUAGCGGAUGACUUGUGGCUGGGGGUGAAAGGCCAAUCAAACCGGGAGAUAGCUGGUUCUCCCCGAAAGCUAUUUAGGUAGCGCCUCGUGAAUUCAUCUCCGGGGGUAGAGCACUGUUUCGGCAAGGGGGUCAUCCCGACUUACCAACCCGAUGCAAACUGCGAAUACCGGAGAAUGUUAUCACGGGAGACACACGGCGGGUGCUAACGUCCGUCGUGAAGAGGGAAACAACCCAGACCGCCAGCUAAGGUCCCAAAGUCAUGGUUAAGUGGGAAACGAUGUGGGAAGGCCCAGACAGCCAGGAUGUUGGCUUAGAAGCAGCCAUCAUUUAAAGAAAGCGUAAUAGCUCACUGGUCGAGUCGGCCUGCGCGGAAGAUGUAACGGGGCUAAACCAUGCACCGAAGCUGCGGCAGCGACGCUGAUGCGUUGUUGGGUAGGGGAGCGUUCUGUAAGCCUGUGAAGGUGUGCUGUGAGGCAUGCUGGAGGUAUCAGAAGUGCGAAUGCUGACAUAAGUAACGAUAAAGCGGGUGAAAAGCCCGCUCGCCGGAAGACCAAGGGUUCCUGUCCAACGUUAAUCGGGGCAGGGUGAGUCGACCCCUAAGGCGAGGCCGAAAGGCGUAGUCGAUGGGAAACAGGUUAAUAUUCCUGUACUUGGUGUUACUGCGAAGGGGGGACGGAGAAGGCUAUGUUGGCCGGGCGACGGUUGUCCCGGUUUAAGCGUAUAGGCUGGUUUUCCAGGCAAAUCCGGAAAAUCAAGGCUGAGGCGUGAUGACGAGGCACUACGGUGCUGAAGCAACAAAUGCCCUGCUUCCAGGAAAAGCCUCUAAGCAUCAGGUAACAUCAAAUCGUACCCCAAACCGA
rnacentral:rRNA from 1 species